rnacentral:rRNA from 1 species
UUUUUUGAGAGUUUGAUCCUGGCUCAGGAUGAACGCUGGCGGCGUGCCUAACACAUGCAAGUCGAACGGGGUGAGACCUUUCGGGGUUUCACUUAGUGGCGAACGGGUGAGUAACGCGUGAACAAUCUGCCUUCCAGAGGGGGAUAACGUUGGGAAACUGACGCUAAUACCGCAUAAGACCACAAUGCCGCAUG